rnacentral:lncRNA from 1 species
UCUAAAUAUUUAAUGCAUUUGGGGCAUCCUUGGUCAAAGGAUCCCUUUAUUGUAGGUCUGUAUAUAAGAAAACCACUGAGGAGUACACCAACCACUGGAGCUUGACAUUAAACACCAGAAGCAUACAUAAUCAUUUGCAGAUUUUCAGGACAUUAUUUAUUCUCUCUUGUAGUAUUAUUCUGUCCAAUGUUUUGCAUAUAUAGGCAAUGCUCAAAUGUUUUGGCCUUCUUCCUUUCCAUCAAUCCUCAGGACUUCAAGGUAUGAUUUUCCAUCAAGUGCCCGUGAAAAUAAUUUCUUGAAAUAAUCUGCAACCCCCACUCUUCUGAACAGUGCUGGAAACUCUGGAGUGAUGAGACUGGGCACUGGACCUAUUUCUGCAUCCAUUUGUGGGCUGUGAAAUGUAGCAAUAGACAGCCUCUCUUUAACUGAGUUGACAACUGCUCGAUGCUCGAUGCUUUUAUAAAUCCCAUUGCUGAAAAUCUGCCAAAUCAUGGAGGAAAACAGACAACAUGAAUCAUUGAAAUACAAUCCUGUGUUGAUUUGAACAUAAAAUGGCAGGUUCUUCAGUUACCUCCAGAAUGUCUCCAAUGUUGACAAUAAAAGCAUUAGGAAGGGGUGUGAUGGGAAUCCACAUCCCAUCUUUCCUUAUCUGAAGGCCUUCCACUUCAUUGACUUGGAGGAGGAUAGUGAGGCCAACAGAGUCCGAAUGAGGGGUUUGGCCGAUGACUUGCUCAGGUUGUGGACAUGGAGGAUAGUAGUUCAUCCUCAUUCCCUGUAACCCUUGUUCAAACAAUUCUCUCAUCUCAUUAACUUCUAUUUUUAGAGCUUUUUCCAUGAAGCUAAGCAUUGUCAGGGCAAGAUUUCUCAUUUCAACCACAUAAAUUUCCAAGGUAUCUCUGCAUGAAAAGCAAGAUAGUUGGAACUUCAUUCAGUAGGAGGAUAAGCAAACAGAAGCUCCAUGUGCCUUUUGUCCUUGGUUAAUCCCCUCUUUUUCUUUAGAAGGCCAAAGAAAACACACAAAAUUUUUGAAGGGUACUUAAAAUUAAUUGUUGUAUAUAAUAAUUAAUUAAAAACAUUUUGAUCUUUGAUGCAUUUGAUAUAUGUUAAUUUUACAAGCUUGCACAUUAUUCUUCAAAAGCAUACAAUUUUUCUUCACUUGAUAUUUUACCCCAACAAGUACAGAGAGAGAGAGAGAGAGAGAGAGAGAGAACAUGAAUGUAUGUGUGUAAGAGAGAGAAAGAAAGGGAGGGAGAGAGAGAGAACCUGAAUGGAAGAGGGAAUUUGGGAAAUAAGCGGGGCUUCCUGAAGUGAGUUGGAAGAGUAGACAUGAAAAAGAGGUCUCCCCAGUCAAGUUUUUGCUCCUCAGAAACAACGAAGGCCUGUCCAAAUCCCUCCACCUCCCCUGGCUUUUGCCAAAACUUCUUCUUCUCAUCCAUUGGGAGAUUGAAGAAUUCUUGUGUCUCUGCCUUCACUUUCUCAACCAAUGAAGAGCUCACUCCAUGAUUUAUCAACUGUGAUCAAUUGAUAUACUUACUUUGGUGCCAAAAAAUUGUAUGAAUAUGUUUAAGGAAAUUAACAACUUGUUUCAAAUUUCAUUUUUAUCCAGAAAUUACUUUGAUUAAUUGCAAUGUGCUUUGACCAAAUUUUGUCUAUUAUAAUGUAUUCUUAGAAUUUAGAUCAUUUAGUGGUAAAUAAACCAAAAAAAAAAGGUAUUACGUCCAAACAGCCUUGUUUCUCUAAUUUUUGUAAGAAAUUGGGCUUUUAAUUUUAAUAUAAAGGUAAAACUUGUGGAAAGUUUCUCAAGUUUUUUUUUUUUUUUUUUCACAAUCAAUUUCUAAUUCCUUAAUAUUUUCCUAUCAAAAAAUUUUCUUUGUAAAGGAAAUUCCAUGGGAACAUUUUUCUUUUUCUUCCUUUUAAUGAAACUUGACAUAUAAAACAUAGGUGAAGAUAGCCAAUUGAAAUAUAUUUCAAGUUUGGAGAAAGUAUAUAAAGGACUACUUGCCUCUCCUAGCCUUAAAACCCAAUACUAGGCUUUUUUUUUUUUUACGAUUCACCUCAUUAUCCAUUCUAAAGUCCUAACCAUUAUCUUUGACACCUUCUUUGAAAUCAUCAACAAUAUUGCCUUCAAAAGCCUCACCAUUGGAAGUCCUGAAAAGCUCUCACCAUUCAAAUGUGAUAAUCAAUGAUGACCGUCAAUAGCGACUUAGGUAAUUUCUUUAUCUAACUACUUUUUCCAUACUUUGUCUUCUUUCAUAGAAAAGCAAGGAUUAGGGUUGAGUCAAGAGUUACGAUUUAUGUCCAACUUACCAAUCUUGGUGGAUAUAAUAAUGGUGGCUUGCAUACCCUUACCACCUAAAGUCUUCUAGUAUCAUAAAUAAGGAGAUAGUUUGCCAUACUUUGCUUUUUCUUGCUUAGUUUAUGUCAAAUUUAUGUGUGUUUUGUGUACUUUAGAGUUGCUUUCUCUCCUAAAGGGUUUUAGGCCCUUGACUGUGAAAGAGCUUUGACAUUUAGGAAAAAAAAACUACUAUAUGCUAUUAUUUGAAGGCGAUCUAUAUAUAGUGUUUUAACAACUGAGCUAACCAAUUACAAUUCUAACUAUCUAACCAUCUAACUAAUAUAACUCUCAUUCCAGUAGAAUGGUUGUUAUUCAACUGCUGAGUUGGUGAGGUUGUUUUGAUGUGGUUCAUUCCCCCGCAAGCUCACUGGGUGAGGAAUAAUGUACAGCUUGGUAUGAAACAUAAAGAAUAGUGAGCUUGAAAGAUGCUUGGUAAAGAUAUCAACUACUUGAUCUUGAGAGGGAAUGUAGCAGAUGUUAAUAAAAAAUACUUUGCACCAGUUGUGGAUAGAGUAGGUGCAGGGCCCCAUAGAUCAGCAUGGAUUAAUGCGAGGGAAUGUUGAGCUUUGGACAAAGACAAGUGAAAAGGUAGUCUUUAACUUUAAUUAGAAAGUUGACAAGCACUACAUAUAGGAGUAGGAGAAUGAGUACAUGAGAUAUUACAUGAAGAAAGAAUUUGUUUAACUAUAGGAACAGUUGGAUGGUCUAGUCUUCGGUGCCAGGUGUGGAAGUCAGCUAGAGAGAGGAGAAGCUAAUGAUAAAUGAGGAUGGAAACUUGGAAACCUGCACAGACCCUACUCAAUGGUUCCUUGAAGAAGUGUCUUCUUUGUAGUCUUGUCCUUAAUAAAAAACAAAGUAGCAUGAAACUCAAAAAAUGUAUUAUUGUCAUGAAAAAAUUUGGAAACACUUAUGAGGUUGGUAGCUAGAUUAGGAACAUGAAGAACUUGCUAUAAUUUAAAAGAUCUAUGUGGAGUAGGAAAGUACUUGGAUCCAACGUGUAAAAUGGAUAGUUGUUUACCAUCUCCAAUGGUGACUUUGUCAUGGCCUUGAUAGGUAAGAGGAUUGGAGAGUUGUUCAGUACUUGGGUAAGGCGGUGAGUUGCUCUUAUGUCAAGGAACUAGGAGUCAUUGAGUGUUAAGGAAGGUGAGACCAUCAUUGCUUAGAUACCAUUGCUGGUUGUUGCACCAUUUAGGGUUGAUGAAGGCUUUGCAGAAUUUGUUGUAGGGGAACCUGAUCGUUGAAAUGGGAUAUCAAACUUGUGAUAGCAUGAGAUGACUGUGUGACCGAAUUUGCCUCAUAAUUGGCAUUGAGGUCUAUCAUUUAUGUUAUUGGGACGAUGUUCUUCUCCACGUCCACCUAAGCAUCCUCUUCUUGGAGGAUGAUGGGAAUAAUGUUGAUGAUGAAAUAGAGAGUUGGGUUGCCCAUUAUGAUAGAUUCUUGGAUGAGUAGCCCAAUUGUGAGUGACAAUAUGGGCUGAUAUAGCUUCGUUUUCUGUUAUGGUAUUCUGGAAAUUAAGACAUUAUUCGUGUGUGAGCAAGAUACUAUUGACGAAGUGAAGAGAGAUGUCAUCAUCCCAAGCAGUGAGAGAUGCUACUAUAGAAUUAUAGUCAGCUCCAAGACCACCAAGAAGCUGCAAUAUUUGAUCCUUUCUGCAAUGGGUUCUCCAAUGGCAGCAAGAUUGUGGCUAAGCGUUUUGAAUUUGAGGAUGUACUCCAUCAUUGUAAGAGAACCCUUUUAAAUGGUUUGAAAUGCAAGACGAAGUUGCAUUAUUCUUGCAUAGGAAGAAACGGAAAAUAUUUUCUCUAGGGCAAUCUAUGCUGCAUGGGAUGUCUGAUGCCCAAUUAUUUGUCCCAUUAUCUCAGGGGUAACAGAAGAGUAUAUCUAGCUUAAGAUCAUUCUAUUAAAGCGUCUCUAAGUGAUGAAAUCUGGGUUGAGUUCACCUGUUGUCGUUGUCUUGAAAGGGCAGACUUUUAUCUCUUCAAUAUGCUCGUCGAAUCCAUUCUCAGAGAUUACAUUCUUCAUUUGAGUAUGCCAGAGAAUGUAAUUAGUUCUAUCUAGUUUAACUGGUAAUGCAUGAUUCAGUACCUACAUUCGUUGCAUGGUUCCAUUAGACGUAUGCAGAAGUUUGAGGCGAAGUUGCCAUUUGGAGAAAAUAGCUUCAAGCUUGUUUGGUUUUCUAGAAAUAUUCUGGAACUUGUUUUACUAAGAUUUUUUCAGAGAAAGUUCAAGAAAAAUGGUCGUGGCUCUAAUACCAUGAAAGAGCUUUGACAUUUGGGAAGAAAAACUUAUUACUUAGAGGUGAUCUAUAUGCAAUGUUUUAACAACUGAGCUAACCAAUUACAGUUCUAACCAUCUAACCAUCUAACUAAUAUAACUCUUCAUUCUAAUAAAAUGGUUGCUAUUCAGCUGCUGAGUUGGUGAGGUUGUUUUGAUGUUGUUCAGACUGAUUUUUUUUUAGGAAAUGGUAGGCUUUAUUGUGUAAACUUAGUGAGGAUGAGAAAGAUGAGCGUGUCUCGACACGUCUUAUUAAAUGAUGUGUGCGUGAGCUGUAAUUCCUUCUAUUAUAAAUAUUAUUGAAGAAGUGAAUAUGGAUAGUGGUUACAAAUCAAUACCUACCAAAAAUAUGCAUAGAGAAUGUCAACGUGUUUUUCCUUUCAUGCCCUUACAAGAUUGAGCUUCCGUCAUGGAUGUCAAUCUUGGAAUGAUGAUCUAGAAAUUAGAGGCACAAUAGUGGCUUUAUGAGGGAGUUUGAGAGCUAAUUGGAGGUUUGGAUGUGAGAGACCCAUAGCAACUUCUUGGACACUUGAUUAUGAACAAAGCAAAAAUCUAUGGCCAUAUACUUUAUGCAAGAAUAAAACACUGGAUUAGCACAAAAAUAUGUGACCCCUACAUUGUAGGAAUAAAUCAUUGGAUAGAGAAUGAGCAUUAAGUUCAUGGAGAAGGUUCUACACCAAAUUAACUUUAGCUACGGUGGAGACAACGACUCAAUAUUCUACUUUGGUCAAGAAUUGAGCUAUAAUUUUUUGUUUCUUAGAACUCAAACCGAUCAGAUAGGAACCAAGAAGUACAACAUAGACUAAUGUGGAAUUGUGAUCAUCAAAAUUUCUCGCCUAGUUGCAUUUGCAAGGGCAUGGAGAGUGAGUGGUGAGUGCUUGCAAAGAAGGAUGUCAAGAUUAAGGGUUCUUCCUUUAAGAUAAUGAAGAACCCUUUUAACUACUAACCAAUGAUUAGUGAAUGGGCAAUGUAUGAACUCAAAGAGCUUGUUUAUUGCAAAAGAAAUAUCAAGUCAAGUGAUUAAGAGGAAUCGCAUAGAUCCAAUGACCUGAUGAUAUUAAGGGGGAUCAAUCAACAGUGCUCCAUCAUGCAAUGUAAGGAAUGCAGUAGAAGAGAGCAGAGUUAAAACCUCAUUUACACUAAGCAUAUUGUUUUUCUCAAGUAAGUCGUCUAUGUACAUGUCUAAAAGAGGAAAAGACCAAGUGAUGUCAAAAUAGCUUCAAUUCCAAGAUAGUAUGGUAAGAGACCAAGGUCAUUGAGUGAAAAAUGAUGAUAUAACAAUAAUAGAUUCAUUAUUUAUAAUAUGAUUCAAAUUCCUCAAUUUCUCUACCCUAUCAUGGAUUAUACUCUUUAUGUAUUCAAGCCUAAAAUCUCUUACAUUAUACAUAAUUUGGGUGCAUAGAAGAUCCAAGUCACGAUAUGUUUCCUACAAGUACAUUUGUUCAUAAUUGGUUCAUAGACUUAAGUAAUUCAUUUGAAGUUAUAGUGCACUACCUCCUAAUUGGAGGAAUGACUUAUCUUGGUUAUCAAAAUGGGUUUAUCAUGGUGAGUGUAUUAGAGUGUAUGGUUACCUAUUGAAAAGAGUCUAUGAUAAAUUGGUUCAUUCAUUGGAAAAUAAUAGGCAAAGGCACAUGCACUUGAUAUUGCAAAGGCUUAAUCCUUCCUUACUUCUUUGAAAGGUGUAGAAAACUUCUUAGCAGUUUGUAUCUACCUUCGUACAAGUUCUUUUACUCAACCUUAAAGACAUUAGAAGAAGACUUCCUAUAGCAAGCUUCCUCUUAGUUAGGAUCCACAUUGCAAUCUUCUAAGGCAUUAGACUCAAUAAAGAAUAUAUUGUUUGGUUGGUUAAGCAUCUUUUACCUACCCAAUUGUAAUUCUCCCAAUGAUAAGAACUUAAGGAAGCCUAGUGUAGCAAAAAAGAUGAUAUAAAGAAGGAAGUCCAAUGUGCACCAAUUUGAAUGACAUUAACAACCCUCUUAUAGCUAUGGUGAGAAAGAUGAACAAGCUAGUUGCCCUAAAUAUCUAAAACACAAAGGCAUAGUUAGAAUCCAAUGAAGAGAGAACAAAUCAUAUUGAAGAUUUACAAAGCAAAAGGAGGUGAUGACUACUUCUAUCGUCUUUCACCUAUGAUUCACCAAAGAAUGCAUCAUCAUUUGCCAACCCUUCUAGAUGGAAAGAGACUAGGAGGUGGCUACAUUGCUCCUAGUUCUUGAUGGAGUCCAAGAUCUUAUAAAUGAGACUCCUUGAGUACCAGGAAAAUUCCUCUUGACUUGGGAAAAGAAACUAAAGUUUCCUCACCCAAUAUUAUGGGAUCUUUUCAUCAUGUUUAACAAAACUAACCCCAUGAGAACCCUAAUGGAAUUUACAGGGAGAGAUCCCCAUAUGGGAUUUAAAAAAAUGUUACAAUAAAGGUGAUAGUGACAUCCUAAGGCUCCCUUUAAUGUUUUGCUACAUUCCAAAAAUGGGAAAAUAUGGAGAAAGAAUAUGGAUCCAAAGGGGUGCGACACAUAGUAGCCAAAGGAGGCUACUCUCAAGCUAGGAUCAAGAAGUCCAUAUUACCUUCAACCAAAAAAAAGACCGAAAACACAGUUAAUCAUGAUGACUGCUUCGAAUGAAUGCCCAAAUCAAUUGAGGUCACAUUUUAGCAUCCAAAGUAAGGAUCAUCCACCUAUACAAGACAUUAAUUAACUUAAUAGCCCCUUCUUGCCCAUUGUUUAUUACCUGAUUGUAUCCACCCAUCUCAAAUUUUCCACCACCAUGUUCAUUGGUGUUGUCCAUUGUUUAUUACCUGAUAGCAUCUGCCAUUCUCAGUUUUUUCACCAACCUGUUCAUCAUGGUAUCCCUGAUCCCCAUCAAUUGAAGGUGCUUUGUCUUUUUCAUUUCAGGAAACCCCCAGUUUGCUUGCAUGAAGACUAAGGUACAAAAAGAUAAGGGUAAACAAAGGAGAUGAGAUUUAUCCCUUGUCCCAGAUUAUUGCCCUUCCAAAUAAUUAUGAUAAGGCAAUAAUCUACAUAAUAUCAACUGUGGAAAGUUCAACUCAGUGUUCAUUCCAGAAAAUGCAUUAUAAAUGGUAAUAAUUGCAAUGGGUAGAAUUAAUUAAUGGCAACAACAUAAGUAAGUGAUCCAUUAUAAAAAUUCAAAUUUCACUUCACCAACUAAAAAUCAUUUCAAUUUCCCAACUAAACACUUCUAAAACAUGUAUGAUAAAAAAAGAAAAAAAAAAGUUCCAAAAAUAUCAAGAAUGUCAAAUUGUGCACAUGAUUGGUAAAAAAUUUGAUAAUGUCACCAAAGAAAUUUAAAUACCAAGUUUCACAGAAAAAUACAUAAAUAAAUGCUAUAGAGUGGGGGUAAAGAAUGAAAGAUAUGUACCUGGAAGAAGCCCCAUUCUUGGCAGGCAUGGUGGAGGUCGAUGAUGGGGACAUGGGGCAUAGAAUCAGUGGUGUUGGAUAAGACUGGAGGGUCUUGUUCAGGACGCAAGUAUCGAUGUGGGACUGCUGUCAGAGGCUCCUUCACCAGCUCCUGAACACAAGGCACCAGCAGAGAGCUUCCAAGGCUUGACAGUCCUGACUCCAUAGCUGUCGGCAAGAGAUAAAGAUAUUGUCUAUCCCUGAAACAAAGGAUCUGUUAUAGUCUUAUAGACUGAGACGAAGCCAAACAUGAUGAUGUUUUUCAAAUUUCAAAAAUGGAAAGUACUCAACAUAUCAUUUUUUUUUUCCAUCAUCUUUAAUUAUUAUGAUAUAAAAUAUUGCCUUGGCAUUUUAAAAAUGAUGCAUCCACACUCCACAGUCGCUGCCAAGACAGCCCACCCACCGCACUUGAGAUAAAAAUUUGUAAACAUGUUUGUGGUAUCAGAAAAAAUGAUGAUCGAAGGAUUCUCUCCUUUAUGAUGAAAACAUUAAUCCAACUUGAUAUCAUCACAAUCAUUAUGUCUCAGUAAUUGAGAGUUUUGGAGAAAGUAAUGUUUUGUGUCAUGUGGGCAGAAGCUUUUUUUUUUCUUUUUAAUCUUCAUUGGUUUUAAUGUAAUUCAUAAAACCAAUAUUGCCAAUAUUGGUUUGAGCAUAUGAACCAAUACUAUAGCUCUCAAUUUUAGUUCUAUUAUCUAUUACCAAUCUUAGUUUUAGAAUAAUUUUACAAAAUAUUUGAAACCAUCAUUGAUAAUAUUUUUAAAAAAAAUUUUGAAACCAAUACUGUUAGUGCUUGUUUAAAUUUUUUUUAAAUUAACUUAAAACAAAUAUUGCCAAUGUGGGCUUUGGUACAUAUAAAAAGAUAAAAUAAUUUCUCUUUACAUAUGUUGUCCACGUGGCAAAGCAUUUCUUUGACAAAUAUUUUGAAUGGCAUCCUAAUACUAUAAUAUUAAAAAUAAAAUAAAAAAGCAUUACUUUUUCCAAAAAAAAAAAGAAAAAAAACCCUCCAUAAAUGAGAAGAUUGUUUUGUUGGACUUUAAAGUCACUUGGUAGGAACUUAAGCCACUACCUCACACAAUCGUGCAAGUUCAACCGAUGGACUUUUGUACUUGAUUAUUUAAUUAAUUUAGGGGGAAUUAUGUAAAUAUAUAUUAUUUACAAAAUAUGAAUAAAAAGAUAACCCAAAAAAAAAAUUAUUUUUAUAGGAAAUAUACCUUAAAAAAAAUAAUUUUCAUUUCAUGUACUAAAAUAAUAUCUACCUCACCUUACCCAUAAAUGUCUUUAUAUGUGUAUUUGGAUUGUCGUGCCUAACUCACAUAAGGAUGGUAUAUCAUUCAAUCAAAAAAUGUACUUUAUACCUAAAAUAUUGGUACUUUAUGACUAAAACAAUGUUACUUUAAUACUAAAGUAUAUGCGAGGGUAAUAUAUGUUACUUCCAAAAUUAGGUAAUUAAUAGGUAAUCAUUAUGAUAAAAAGUCAAAAUAAAUAACAUCAACUAGUGAAUCUAAUUAUUAUCAUACAAGAGUUGAAUAUAUAUAUGCAUUAUCACACUAAAUAUUACAAGUAAUUAACAUAAUUAUAAUGCCUAAUAAAUGUCACAUACAUUGUAAUUUACUCUAAUCCCAUGAGUUUUCAAAAGCACCAAAUAAAAUACAAAUUAAAAGAAAAAAAAAUUAAAUAGAAGAAGGGGACACAAUAUUUACAAGGUUUUGGAAGGAUGCCUUAGCAAUGAUUAAUCCAUGUUCAGUAAGGUGGCAUUACACUUAUGGGUCACUCGUGGAGCCAAGUUGCCGCCCCAUGAGACCUUUGUGAUGCAUACUCCGAGUUAAAGAGCUAACAGGAAGCCACUUACCCUUCAAGAAAAGCACAUAAAUUUGAAAUUUUUGUUGGUUCUUUCCCUUCCCUAACUUAAUGUGCAUUAUUCUCAAAUGUAAUGAAAGACACAUGUAAAAGUAGGAAAAGUUACCUCAAAAGGUAGAUCAUCACACUUAACUUCACAAACACAACCAAAAAAAAAAGGAAAAUCAAGUUAGAUAUGUAUAGAAUAUAAAGAAAAUAAAGGGAUAUACCAAUCUGAUAGCAAAAAAUAAGACUGUCAAAGGAGUAUCAUUUGGAAAACAUGCCACUCAUCAAAAUAAAAUUUCAAGUUUAUCCAAAUAAAGUGUAUAAAAAAAAUGGAACUCAAGCAAAGCCUCAAUCAACAUCUAGUGUGGAGACUAUUAAGUCUACAUCCAUUGAGGCUAUAGCCUCCCCUUCAAUAAUUGAAAGCGGAGCAUCAUCAAUAGUAAUGACUACAUCAAUUAUGGUAAUUUCAAGUUUUGAGCUCAAAUAUUGCAGUAAACUUGGGAAGUUAAAUACUUGAAUAAAGCUUAGGGGUAGUAGUGCUAGAAAAUUUUGAGAAUGAAUUUAAGUAGGAAAAGGUAGUAUGUUAGCAAACUAGAGGCAUGCAUUGUUUCUGAAAUCUUUCACAAUGUAAAUUGAUUUUGGAAGUUCACUUCUAUUUCGGUUUACAAGUAAAAUUCAUAACCUCACUACAACAAAUUUUACAUUUUGCUACCAUAUUUUUAGGCACAAAUAAAUUUUUAUGAAAAAAAAAAAAUUACAACAAAUUUUAUUUUUAUGGUAAAAAGGAAUUUUUUUUUUUUAGAGAUUAAAUUUGUACUCAUGAAAAAACACUAUAUUUAACCAAUUCGAGUCCCCUCAAGGUCAUUAGAGGUUUACCUAGUUGUUAAUUUUAAGGCCCCGUGGGAUUAGUCGAGGUGCGCAUAAGCUGGCCCUGCCAUCCACGGUUAAAGUCACAUUUGUGGCUGAAAAAUAACCAUGGGUGUAGUUACCCCCAAAGCAUUAGCUUCUUCUAAUGCAAUUUCAGGAUAUAAGGCCACGUAUAAAUCUCUUCUUCCCCUUCUUCUUCUUCUUCUUCUUUUAUUCUUUUUUUGAGAAAUACAAAGAUUUCUGUUACGUUUUGUUCUCACAUGCAUGUUCCCCAUGAUUAUAUAAACUUUCAAUUUUUAUUUUUAUCUGGGGAUUGGGAAGUAAAAAAUAUGAAUUAGUCCCGGUUACGGUAGCUGUUUAUGAAUGUUUUGAGACCCCUUUGAGUAUGCAAGUGAUGUGGUAUAUUCCAAGCUUGGCUGGGCAACUUCUUAUCUUUUUCACACACCUAUAACUUGUGGUUGUUGUAUCUUCAUGGUGGUUUGUGUUCAAGUUUCUCAUCAUAGUGCUCGUCUCUAUUUUCAGUGGCUUUGAUGAAAAUUGGGUAAUUGCCAACAGGAAAGAUGCAAAAUUAAGAACAAAAUACUUAGUUAAGGGUUAGAUUUGUUAGUCUUGAUAUUGUUUUUCUUAUUUUUGAUAUGUAGAGAUGUUAAACAAAUGACACAAAGAUCAAAUUGUUUAGGAUUAAAAUAAGAUAUAUUUAGAAUUUUAAUUUGUUCUUCUAAAAAUAAAGGGGCGAAUUAUGGUGAUAUUAAAAAAGUUUGACAUUAAACACCAGAAGCAUCCAUCAUCAUUUGCAGAUUUUCAGGACAUUAUUCAUUCUUUCUUGUAGCAUUAUUCUGUCCAAUUUUUUUUGCAUAUAUAGGCAAUACUCAAAUGUUUUGGCCUUCUUCCUUUCCAUCAAUCCUCAGGGCUUCAAGGUAUGAUUUUCCACCAAGUUCCCGUGAAAAUAAUUUCUUGACAUAAUCUGCAACCCCCACUCUUCUAAACAAUGCUGGAAACUCUGGAGUGAUGAGGCUGGGCACUGGACCUAUUUCUGCAUCCAUUUGUGGGUUGUAAAAUGUAG